AUUGAACGCUGGCGGCAGGCUUAACACAUGCAAGUCGAGCGGGGUGAUGGUGCUUGCACUAUCACUUAGCGGCGGACGGGUGAGUAAUGCUUAGGAAUCUGCCUAUUAGUGGGGGACAACAUCUCGAAAGGGAUGCUAAUACCGCAUACGUCCUACGGGAGAAAGCAGGGGAUCACUUGUGACCUUGCGCUAAUAGAUGAGCCUAGGUCGGAUUAGCUAGUUGGUGGGGUAAAGGCCUACCAAGGCGACGAUCUGUAGCGGGUCUGAGAGGAUGAUCCGCCACACUGGGACGGAGAACCGGCCCAGACUCCUACGGGAGGCAGCAGUGGGGAAUAUUGGACAAUGGGGGGAACCCUGAUCCAGCCAUGCCGCGUGUGUGAAGAAGGCCUUAUGGUUGUAAAGCACUUUAAGCGAGGAGGAGGCUCUUUUGGUUAAUACUCAAGAUGAGUGGACGUUACUCGCAGAAUAAGCACCGGCUAACUCUGUGCCAGCCGCCGCCGUAA
rnacentral:rRNA from 1 species